rnacentral:misc_RNA from 1 species
AACGGUCUAUACCUGCGGUACCUGCGGAGGGAUCAUUACCGAGUCACGCACUCCAAACCCACCGCGAACCUACCCAGUUGCCUCGGCGCGCCCCCCAGCGGGCCGCCGGGAACCCUGACCCUGAUUCCUGGCGUCUCUCCGAGUGACCUAAGAAGAAUCAAAACUUUUAGCAAUGGAUCUCU